GAUGAACGCUGGCGGCGUGCCUAAUACAUGCAAGUCGAGCGAACGGACGAGAAGCUUGCUUCUUUGAUGUUAGCGGCGGACGGGUGUGUAACACGUGGAUACCCUACCUAUAAGACUGGGAUAACUUCGGGAAACCGGCGCUAAUACCGGAUAAUAUUCUGAACCGUAUGGUUCAAAAGUGAAAGACGGUCUUGCUGUCACUUAUAGAUGGAUCCGCGCUGCAUUAGCUAGUUGGUAAGGUAACGGCUUAUCAAGGCAACGAUGCAUAGCCGACCUGAGAGAGUGAUCGGCCACACUGGAGCUGAGACACGGUCCAGACUCCUACGGGAGGCAGCAGUAGGGAAUCUUCCGCAAUGGGCGAAAACCUGACGGAGCAACGCCGCGUGAGUGAUGAAGGUCUUCGGAUCGUAAAACUCUGUUAUUAGGGAAGAACAGAUGUGUAAGUAACUGUGCACAGCUUGACGGUACCUAAUCAGAAAGCCACGGCUAACUACGUG
rnacentral:rRNA from 1 species